rnacentral:rRNA from 1 species
CCUACGGGGCGCAGCAGUGGGGAAUAUUGCACAAUGGGGGAAACCCUGAUGCAGCGACGCCGCGUGAGUGAAGAAGUAAUUCGUUAUGUAACGCUCUAUCAGCAGGGAAGAAAAUGACGGUACCUGAGUAAGAAGCCCCGGCUAACUACGUGCCAGCAGCCGCGGUAAUACGUAGGGGGCAAGCGUUAUCCGGAUUUACUGGGUGGAAAGGGAGCGUAGACGGCAGUGCAAGUCUGGAGUGAAAGGCGGGGGCUCAACCCCCGGACUGCUCUGGAAACUGUACGGCUGGAGUGCAGGAGAGGUAAGUGGAAUUCCUAGGGUAGCGGUGAAAUGCGUAGAUAUUAGGAGGAACACCAGUGGCGAAGGCGGCUUACUGGACUGUAACUGACGUUGAGGCUCGAAAGCGUGGGGAGCAAACAGGAUUAGAUACCCCUGUAGUC